GGCAGAGGUUUAACCCACUGAGCCACCCAGGUGCCCCAAGAUCAGAUUUAAUUUUAACUGUGUUGGAAAACGAGACAGAUAGAAGUAUCUUAGUUUAUCCUUUACAAUUUUAAAGCAAAACAAACAGAGUAGUAUAUAUGUAUAUAUGUAAGUAUGUAUAUAAUUUUUACAUAUUGGGCUAAAAAAAAUGUUUGCAAGGGGAAAAAAGCCCAAACGAGUAUAUAGUGUAAGAGUGUAAAAGAGUAGAAUA